rnacentral:rRNA from 1 species
GAUGAACGCUGGCGGCGUGCUUUAACACAUGCAAGUCGAGCGAGAAACUACCAUGCAGCACUUCGGUAGAAGCGAGUAGCGGAAAGCGGCGGACGGGUGAGUAACGCGUAGCAACCUGCCCUUCACAGAGGUAUAGCCUCGGGAAACCGGGAUUAAAACCCACAUAAAAUCAUAGGUUCGCAUGAACCAAAGGUCAAAGAUUUAUCGGUGAAGGAUGGGCCUGCGUCUGAUUAGCUGGUUGGUAGGGUAAAAGCCUUCCAAGCGACGAUCAGUAGCCGACCUGAGAGGGUGAUCGGCCACAUUGGAACUGAGACACGGUCCAAACUCCUACGGGAGGCAGCAGUGGGGGAUAUUGCACAAUGGGGGAAACCCUGAUGCAGCAACGCCGCGUGAGGUAUGAAGGCCUUUGGGUUGUAAGCCUCUGUCCUAGGGGAAGAAAAAAAUGACGGUACCCGAGGAGGAAGCCCGGCU